rnacentral:lncRNA from 1 species
AAGGUUUAAUGGGGUCAGGUGGGGGGUAAUUAAGAUUUAAUGGGGUCAGUUUGGGGACAAUUAAGGUUUAAUGGGGUCAGAUGGGGUCAGAUUGAGAGCAGUGAAGGUUAGUGGGGUCAGAUUGGGGGUAAUUAAGGUUUAAUGGGGUCAGGUUGGGGAUAAUUAAGGUUUAAUGGGGUCAGAUGGGGUCAGAUUGGGAACGAUGAAGGUUAGCGGGGUCGGAUUGGGGGUAAUUAAGGUUUAAUGGGGUGAGAUGGGGUCAGAUUGGGGACAAUGAAGGUUUGAUGGGGUCGGGUUGGUGUCACCCAUGGGUGCUGAUGUGUUCCCCCCCCCCCAGAUGCUGAGGGGCUGAAAGGCGACGGCGAGCGGCCCCUGGAGGAGCUGCUGCGCUCACUGCCCCCCCCACAGGUGGGUCACUGGCACCCAGUGUCACCCAGUGUCACCUAUGGGCCCCCAUUGUCACCUGGUGGCACCCACGGGCCCCCAUUGUCACCUGGUGGCACCCAGUGUCACCCACUGUCACCUAUUGGGCCCCCAUUGUCAACUGGUGGCACCCACUGUCACCCACUGUCACCUAUUGGGCCCCCAUUGUCACCUGGUGGCACCCAGCGUCACCUAUGGGCACCUAUGGUCACCAGGUGUCACCCAUUGUUACCUGUGGGCACCCACUGUCACCUGGUGUCCCCCAGCGUCACCCAGUGUCACCUAUGGGCCCCCAUUGUCACCUGGUGGCACCCAGCGUCACCCACUGUCACCUAUGGGCCCCCAUUGUCACCUGGUGGCACCCACUGUCAUCCACUGUAACCUAUGGGCCCACAUUGUCA